ACGUAGGUGGCAAGCGUUGUCCGGAAUUAUUGGGCGUAAAGCGCGCGCAGGCGGUCCUUUAAGUCUGAUGUGAAAGCCCACGGCUCAACCGUGGAGGGUCAUUGGAAACUGGGGGACUUGAGUGCGGAAGAGGAAAGUGGAAUUCCACGUGUAGCGGUGAAAUGCGUAGAGAUGCGGAGGAACACCGAUGGCGAAGGCAAUCCCCUGGGCCUGCACUGACGCUCAUGCACGAAAGCGUGGGGAGCAAACAGGA
rnacentral:rRNA from 1 species